rnacentral:rRNA from 1 species
CCUACGGGGGGCUGCAGUGGGGAAUAUUGCACAAUGGGGGAAACCCUGAUGCAGCGACGCCGCGUGAGUGAAGAAGUAUUUCGGUAUGUAAAGCUCUAUCAGCAGGGAAGAAAAUGACGGUACCUGAUUAAGAAGCCCCGGCUAACUACGUGCCAGCAGCCGCGGUAAUACGUAGGGGGCAAGCGUGAUCCGGAUUUACUGGGUGUAAAGGGAGCGUAGACGGCAGCACAAGUCUGGAGAGAAAUGCCGGGGCUUAACCCCGGAACUGCUUUGGAAACUGUGCAGCUUGAGUGCAGGAGAGGUAAGUGGAAUUCCUAGUGUAGCGGUGAAAUGCGUAGAUAUUAGGAGGAACACCAGUGGCGAAGGCGGCUUACUGGACUGUAACUGACGUUGAGGCUCGAAAGCGUGGGUAGCAAACAGGAUUAGAUACCCGGGUAGUC